CGAGCCCCGCCUCGCGCCCUCCGGAAGGCGGGUUAGGGACGCCCGGGGCUCAGCUUAGGGAGGCGGGCGCCGCGCCACGAGGAGGCUGCCCUGAUGCCUGGUGCAAGUGCUCCUUGGCGGGGCGGCCCGCGACUCCCACCUUGGACCGUUCACUGCCUGAGGGGCCUGGGGUGGCAGUCAGAAGACUAACGACCACCAGUCACCGAGAGCUCAGUUCGUGCCAAACCCUGCUCGCGCUCUCCCCGACUUAUUGUUCACAACGACCCUACAGGUCAUUCUCCUUCCCACUGGGAACCGGGGAUCAGAGGGAAGUCAUGGCCCGAGUGCCCCGGUCACACCUCCGUGAGCGGCCUCGGGCUCGCGGUUGAGGCUGAUUGAGGAAGUGGGUUCAGGCGGCCCGCCGUGCCUGGGACACGGUCAGAGUCCCAUCAUGAACUCCUUGUGGUCAGAAACUUCGUGUAUCUCUUUCUCCAGAACCUAACACAGUGCCUGAGAGGAGUUUAUUUUUUGCCAUGUGUUGCUAUGCUAGCUUUUCCCUCUUCUAUUUUACGCAGGCUGACUCUUUGAGAGACUUCCACGGCUGGAGAGCUGGCCAAAUGCACGCAGGCCACAGCUGGAGGCCCGUAAAUGGAUUUUUACAACUAAAGCCUCAUGCCAGUAAGGGUAAAGGUGAAUUCUGAGUCCUGAGCUCACAUUUUAAGAGGAUCCUGUGAUGCACCAGGUGCAAAGUAAGCAGGUUUCAAACUGAGUUAGGGGAGGUGCCUUCCUUCUUGAAUUUUGUCUAUUCACAUGCAAGUUUUGAAUGGUCUCAUCCCAGCCCAACAUGAAAUUCCAAGCAGAAUACCAACAGGAAUGGAAAGGACAGAAAUAAGACGUGUUACAAAGGAAAAGCAAAAUGGUCCUUGGUGACUGACUGUCGUAGUCAGAGAGGGAGGGACUGUGGAUGGCCCACAGGGGUUUAGUAUGGAUGAUACUGAAUGACGGGUUUGGGAAACUUGGACACUAGUGUGAUGUUGACGGA